GGAACCUCAGCACGUCGAUACCGAACGUCAGGAACGCACCAUCGAAGAACCGGUUCAUCAGGAACAUCUGACCUGCUCAAAUUCAAACGCUUCGUAUAAUUUCUAUCGCCAUGGAUUCGCUCUAAAUAUCGACCAUUUAAGGAGAUGAUCUAAAUAGUCUGCGAUAGCUGGCAAAGGAAGAGGUUGACGAAGAAAGAGAGGAACGAUAACACACGCAAGUCCGAUACGCAUCUUCUCCACGUUCUGUCAUGUUUGACGCGAGUUUCUAUGACGAGCUACUAAGCACGUUCUUGCACAGUUAAUUCCAACUUGUUUGACACGCGUGAUCUGGUAAGUGGGUGUGAUCUGAUUUUCUUUUCUCUCCGAAAUAACUGUAUAUUUCUAGGAUAAAUGAGUGGAUAAAAAUGGAUAAAAAUGAAAAAAAACAGACCGAUAUCGACGAGAGGACGGAACGAGUAUUCGGACACGGUGACAGACACAGGUGGUGCGCGGAAGCAAGCCGUUAGAAGACUGGCCGAACUUGAGAGGCAUCCCUUGGCCUCGAUACUAAACACAUAACUUGUAUGAUCCUCUAAGUAUCUUCCUCUUGUCUUGUCAAUGAAAUUGCACAUACCGUUGUUCUUUACAAUGUUUCAAUCGUCGUCGUUGCCUUUGCCAUUUGCCAUUUGCUUUCAUAAUUCUAACUUCUUAUAAGAUUUCGUUAUCGAGAAAAUGUACAAAAAUUGGAAAAUUUAUCAACCGAAUAUCAAAGGAUUAUCCUUCGUGUUUUUUCAAUUAAGUUUGAACGUUUAUCUCAAUAAGGUAUCAGGCCAGCUCUUAAUAUCAAACAUGUUGAAACAUUAUUCUCCUGAAAGUUUGACUCUAUGUGUAUCUUCUUCGUCUCUUUUCACAAGAAAUCACCUAAUCCCUCGCUUGUAAGUAUUUACACGUCGUUCGGUCGAAAUUCGCUCUACAUAAUAAUUUUUUCUUUUUAUCAUUCUUGCGGUCCUAGUUAUUUCCUUUAACGAUACGAUUUUUGCAAGAUUUCACCUGCCUACUUGACUUGCCUACGAUUUCAUUAUAUUACUUUGGAUUUCGUCAACUGCUGUCUCUUUGCUUUAUCAACGAAAUUACAAUAAUGCAUUCCGCUUCCUUCCUUACAACAUUUUAAUCCUUCUCAUGAAAUACACGUUUCAAUACGAUAAAAUAUCGAGUAAAAUAAACAAAUAAAUCGAAUGAUCGAAUAGAUUUGGUGUGUGAUUUCGUUAACUCUCGACGAACAAAGACAGAGCCUAAUCGGAUCCAUCGACGUAUAAUUACUUUCCUGCUUCGACUAUGCAGCGAUAAUACGACAACGAUGCUGCACGUCGUACACGACGAUACAGAAACACGAGAUACAGAAGCGUUCGCUUUAGCCAUCACCGCCAAUCUUUGAAAACAAAGUCUGUACUCGAGCUUCGAGCGAACCGUAUUUUAAAAGUUACAUUGUCUCAGCGCAGUCCACGUCUUCCCGUACCGAGGAAUUCACGCUCGUUCUUUUCCAUUUCCUUGUUCGAAUUCUCCAAAUUUUGCCGAUCCAGUCAUUUAGACUGGGCCGCUGAAGCGAACGCCUCUGUAGAAAUAACAACUCGUUAAGACCUAACCUGCUGUAUUUACCUCUUAUCAUCUUAUCACCUAUACGGCCGCUGCUAGACAAUUCGCGGCGCGAAGUUUAAUCUACAAAUCAGAUACACAGGUCCGAACGAUAGAAGGUUGAAUCGAAAAAUCGAUAAGAACGCCACAUAUAUAUUGGAUUUUUUCCAUACGAUCGAAAAUGGUGGGUGUGUGCACAUUUGAAAAAAGCAAAGCUGACUGUGUUACAGCUGAACGACCUUGAUCCAAUAUCAAGACAAGGUCAACAUCAAUCGUCCCCUGCAAAUUCUAAGACUUUAAUAUAUACAUAUAUGACAUUUAUGCAAGUUACGCAGUCAACUAUCAAUUUUCCCUACUUACUAUGUAAGCGAAUUUUCAAUAGAAAAAUUAAUAGCACGAGUUUUUCAUCGCUGAUCCUAACAUGUCAAAUUCAAAAAGGAAAAGUUUCAGUCGAAUCUUCGAUUCGAAAAGAAUGCGUCAAUUUAUAAAUCCAAUUUCAUCAAAUUAUCGAAGCGAAUCCGCAAUACGAAUCUGCCAAAACCAAUUUCAUUCCUGUACCUUUUUCCUUACGUCUUGUUUCGUGAAAUACAAUAUUAAUGAUUUUCGUGCGUUUAUCAAUGGAAUUAAUCAAACAAAAAUUAAAAGCUUGGCUAAAAGCGUAUAGAAGGGUUGGCUAGAUUCCGAUUUCGAUGAUUUUUGGCCAGGUUUUGGAAAUCGGUAUCUCGAACAACAUUUUCCUAGACAUAUAAGACAUAUAAGCUCGAACUCGCUUAGUUUGCGAGAUAUUCGCGAAAAACUACAAUCAAUUCCGCGUCUGCGGUAGUCUAUGCGUCGGUAUUGGUUGUCUUAUUUUCUUGGUAUUGCUUAUCUUCUCUUUAUAAACGAGGGUUUAAACGCACAACGCAAGUACGAGAAUUUCACGUUACGAGAAAUCGCUAUCACGAUUGAAAUUUAUUCCAAUAUGAAUAUCAUCGAUGUAUCGGGUUUAGAUGAGUCUAAAGUUUCUUUAAUUCAGCCGUUUCACUAAACUUGCCUGCUGCUAAUUUACUGCUGCACUAAAUUAUAACAAUUAUUCUAUUUCGUAAAAUAAUAUCAAUUAUUUAUUCGCCCGUUAUUCGUACCCGUAUUCGAAUUAAUUCGUUGUUAUUGGACGCAAACGUUGCGUCGCGGCGGCCGGAUGUAAAAUCUAACCGAAACCUAAACCCAACACAUCCAUAAUAUUCGCUUUUAGUCGUUCAGUUUAACAUUCAGAAAUCAAACGUUCUUAUCAAUGCGUGUUUUACAUUUGUCCAAUUAACGUCCAUUUAUUCGUAAUUAACAUUUAUAGCUUGUAUUGUAUUAUUAACAUUUAUAAUUAAAUACAUGUCGAUUUGUAAAUACGAUUCGAAUUAUAGCGUGUUUGCUGUCGUUUUCGAGAUCGAAAGAUCUCACAAAUACGUUGAUAAAAGUUUAAUUUGAAAAAAAGAAAAGAAAAAGAA